GAGGAAUGAUUCAAAUAAUAUUGUCUAUUGAAUUUGAAUUUGAGUGGGUAAGAAAAGAGGGUUAUUCAGUGAUUUGAAUUGUUGGUUUUGAUACUGUGUUAUUUUUUGGUGUAUUUUUAGUGGAUUUUGUGUAUAUUAUAUAUGUUGAAGUGAUUUGGUUGGGUGAGUUUUCUAAAGUCUUUAAGUAGUGGAAUACAUAGUGGUAUAGACUAGUAUAUAGUUCGUGCUAACGCUACGAUCAGAAGGGUCGACGACGAGGGUGGCACGAGCGAGGGAAGGAGCGGCUGUGUUGAAGGUGAGGGAGCAAGUGAGGGGGAAGGGACGAGGAAUAAGAGAUGAUCCAAUAACAUUGUCUUGAAUUUGAUUGGGUAAUGAAUAGAGAGUUAUUCAGCGAUCUGAAUUAUUGUUUUUUAUGGUGUGUUAAGUAUGAGUAUAAUUUAUUUAAUUGAUUUGGUGAAAGUUAUAAGUGUGGAGUGAUUUGGAUUGGUCGGUUUUGAAAAGUCUAAACCAGUGGAUUAUAUAAUGGUAAUGAUGAAUUGGAUAUCUUAAUAAUCACAAUGAUUAGAGUCCGUUUGUAUAUUAAAAGAUAACUAACAUAGUUGGAGACAAAUUUUGGAUCGAACUGUCCAGUCGGCAGUGGCAAUUAGCAGACUAU
rnacentral:lncRNA from 7 species